AAAUAAUACAAUUAAAUUCUUUUAGUUCUAAUUAAUUGAUAAUUUUAAAUUUAAAUUAUAAAUUUAAUAAGUGAAAUUUUAAAUUUUGUUAAGAUUUAUAUUUGUUAAUGAUUUAAGAAAUUUUAUUUUUAAACUAGGAUUAGAUACCCUAUUAUUUAAAAUGUAUUUUUAUAGACUAAAUUAGUAUAAGGUAUAUUCUCAAAAAUUAAAGAUUUUGGCGGUAUUUUAGUCUAUUCAGAGGAACCUGUUCUGUGAUUGAUAAUCCACGAUUUAAUUCACUUACUAUAUUAGUUUACAUAUCGUCGUAGUUUGAAUAUUUUAUUAGAAUUUAAAUAUUCAAGAUUUAUUAUAAUAAAAAAAAUCAGAUCAAGGUGUAGUUUAUUAGUAAGAAGAAAUGGGUUACUAUAAUAAAAUUUUGGGAUGGUUACUUUUAAAGUAAUUUGAAUAAGGAUUUGACAGUAAUUUAAAUUAAUUAAUUAAAAUGAUUUAGCUCUAAAAU
rnacentral:rRNA from 1 species